rnacentral:rRNA from 1 species
UGGGGAAUUUUGGACAAUGGGCGAAAGCCUGAUCCAGCAAUGCCGCGUGUGUGAAGAAGGCCUUCGGGUUGUAAAGCACUUUUGUCCGGAAAGAAAUCCUUGGCUCUAAUACAGUCGGGGGAUGACGGUACCGGAAGAAUAAGCACCGGCUAACUACGUGCCAGCAGCCGCGGUAAUACGUAGGGUGCAAGCGUUAAUCGGAAUUACUGGGCGUAAAGCGUGCGCAGGCGGUUUGCUAAGACCGAUGUGAAAUCCCCGGGGCUCAACCUGGGAACUGCAUUGGUGACUGGCAGGCUAGAGUAUGGCAGAGGGGGGUAGAAUUCCACGUGUAGCAGUGAAAUGCGUAGAGAUGUGGAGGAAUACCGAUGGCGAAGGCAGCCCCCUGGGCCAAUACUGACGCUCAUGCACGAAAGCGUGGGGGAGCAAAACAGGAUUCAGAUACCCUGGUAGUCCACGCCCUAAACGAUGUCAACUAGUUGUUGGGGAUUCAUUUCCUUAGUAACGUAGCUAACGCGU